UGCAAACCUGUCUUCAAGACAUUAAGGUGAAGAGGGAGAAAAUCUGGGACAAAACCAAAGAAGUUACCAAGAACAGAAAAGAGGGACAGUUUCCCUUAGUAAAAGGAAUCUAAUCCAGAGAUAAAUGUUUUAGAUCUUCUGAAAAAUGCAGGGUCACAGGCUGUGUCUACAAUGCCUUGGAAUGGGCCUGCACAGAAGAAGCAUUGGUGCUGAGCAGUGGGGCACUCAUGUUGCUCACAUUUCAAGGCUGUUUCCCUCAGACUAGAUCCAGUUGGCCCCGAGGUUGAACAUCCAUCAGAGAUACUGGUGAAUUCAGAGGAAAUAUUUCCUGGUCCUGUGCCAUCCAGAAAGACUCCUUAGGACUGAACAUGUGUGCAGAAACACAAAGAACACUUUAAAACACGUACCUGGAAAGCCUUCUCUUAUUUCCUUGCUGGACAAAGACAUCAUAGU